rnacentral:rRNA from 1 species
AACGCACCUUGCACCCUUUGGUAUUCCGAAGGGUACACCCGUUUGAGUGUCAUUGUAAUCUCACUACGAUCGACUUUAUCGUCUUUCCGUAUGUGGACUUGGAUGCUGCCGUGGACUUCCACGGCUCGUCUGAAAUGCCUGAGUGUACCCCGCUUUGCGGCGUAUUCGGUGUGAUAAAUCUUCACCGGAGUUGAUCCUUUAUGGGUCACGUCUUAAGGAGUGUGGCUCUAUGCUUCCAACCGUCUGUUUUGGACAAUCUCUGACAAUUUGACCUCAAAUCGGGUGGGACUACCCGCUGAACUUAA